GAAUAUAGCUCAGUUGGUAGAGCAUGAGAUUUGUCAUCUCAGGGUCAUGGGUUCAAGCCCCACGUUGGACA